rnacentral:rRNA from 1 species
UACGUAGGGUGCGAGCGUUGUCCGGAAUUAUUGGGCGUAAAGGGCUCGUAGGCGGUUUGUCGCGUCGGGAGUGAAAUCCACUGGCUUAACUGGUGGCUUGCUUUCGAUACGGGCAGACUGGAGGUAUGCAGGGGAGAACGGAAUUCCUGGUGUAGCGGUGAAAUUCGUAGAUAUCGAGAGGAACACCGGUGGCGAAGGCGGCCUUCUGGACAGUGACUGACGCUGAGACGCGAAAGCGUGGGGAGCAAACAGG